rnacentral:rRNA from 1 species
UACGUAGGGGCUAGCGUUAUCCGGAUUUACUGGGUGUAAAGGGAGCGCAGACGGAACUGCAAGUCUGAUGUGAAAGCCCGGGGCUCAACCGCGGGACUGCAUUGGAAACUGUAGAUCUGGGGUGCCGGAGGGGCAAGCGGAAUUCCUGGUGUAGCGGUGAAAUGCGUAGAUAUCAGGAGGAACACCGGCGGCGAAGGCGGCUUGCUGGACGGCAACUGACGUUGAGGCUCGAAAGCGUGGGGAGCAAACAGGAUUAGAUACCCUGGUAGU